GCCAUCUCCUAGAGACCAGGCGAUAAUGGAUCCCUCCAUGGAAGUGGUGCAGUUAUCCCUCUUCAUGUCCUGAAAGGCAUCUGGCACCGGGGAUGAAAGCUUUAUAAAGGGAUAAUUGGCAGACAAGACAUCGUGAUUAAAGUGUACAAUUGGAUAAGGGCUGACAUCUGUAUGGAUCCCUGAAACCACCAGCUUGAUGAAGACAGUGAACAUAUCCAUCACCUCCCCAAGCUUCCUUGUGCCCUUGGUGGGUGAUUUCUCCCUCCCUCACCUUUAUCCUACCUACCCUCUGUCCUCAGGGCAACCACUGAUCUGUCUGCGGUCACCAAGGAUUUGUUAGUUUAGCAUUACUUCUAAUAAUCUACAACUAAACUAAAAUCAUCCUUCUCAUGCAAUUAAAAAAAGAAAAGAUUUGCUUUGUUUCCUGACGGGAAGAAAAAGUAACAAUGCUGGAGCAAAGGGUGACACACAGGUCAUUAGAAAGCACUUUUAAUUGAGUAAUGAUUGUGCAGAUUCUCUUUCAUAUUCUACAGCCUGAUGCUAAUUGGAUUAAAGAGUCAAGAAUCCAGGAAAUGAAGUAAAAGAGGAGGUGUGUUGAUUUUAAUAAAUAGGGUUUUUUUUUUCCUGUCUCAUCUGUCAGCUUAUUUCUAAUUAAUAAAUGGAUCUUCAAAACCUGGCCAAAAGUAAGCACUGUUCAAAUAAAUUAGAUGGCUCUUAAAAAAAAAAAAGGCAGCUCUAUCUUGGAGUUCUAUGUCAAUAAUAAAGC